rnacentral:misc_RNA from 1 species
CCCAGAAUUGUUUCUCAAGAUAGUUCACCACAUUCUUGUCCAAUUGGAAUGCCUUGGCCAGAACAUCAGGGUUAAUUGGUGGAUUGGAUCCAAACACUGCAUUUGCAAUUGUGAUGACUCCUGGAUUUUGGCUGCUCAGUGCAGCAAUAGCAACUGCAUUAGUAUUUCCAAUGUUGAACUGAAAGUGAAUCAGACCAAUCGGAAAUAC